rnacentral:rRNA from 1 species
GAGACCUUAACCUGCUAAAUAGCCAGGCUAGCUUUGGCUGGUCGCCGGCUUCUUAGAGGGACUAUCGGCUCAAGCCGAUGGAAGUUUGAGGCAAUAACAGGUUGACCAACACAGGCCUGU